rnacentral:rRNA from 1 species
CCUACGGGCGGCAGCAGUGGGGAAUAUUGCACAAUGGGCGCAAGCCUGAUGCAGCCAUGCCGCGUGUAUGAAGGAGGCCUUCGGGUUGUAGAGUACUUUCAGUCGGGAGGAAGGUGGUGAGCUUAAUACGCUCAUCAAUUGACGUUGCCGACAGAAGAAGCACCGGCUAACUCCGUGCCAGCAGCCGCGGUAAUACGGAGGGUGCAAGCGUUAAUCGGAAUUACUGGGCGUAAAGCGCACGCAGGCGGUUGAUUGAGUCAGAUGUGAAAUCCCCGGGCUUAACCCGGGAAUUGCAUCUGAUACUGGUCAGCUAGAGUCUUGUAGAGGGGGGUAGAAUUCCAUGUGUAGCGGUGAAAUGCGUAGAGAUGUGGAGGAAUACCGGUGGCGAAGGCGGCCCCCUGGACAAAGACUGACGCUCAGGUGUGAAAGCGUGGGGAGCAAACAGGAUUAGAUACCCCAGUAGUC